AGCUCUCCGAGUGGUGGGGAUGUUUAUUGGGCCUAAAGCAUUCGUAGCCUGCUUGGCAAGUCCUCCGUUAAAUCCAACGAUUCAAUCGUUGGGCUGCGGGGGAUACUGUCCGGCUAGGGGGCGGGAGAGGCCGACGGUAUCCCCGGGGUAGGGGUGAAAUCCUAUAAUCCCGGGAGGACCACCAGUGGCGAAGGCUGUCGGCUAGAACGUGCUCGACGGUGAGGGAUGAAAGCUGGGGGAGCGAACCGGAUUAGAUACCCGAGUAGUCC
rnacentral:rRNA from 1 species